GGCCCCAUCGUUCAGUCGGUUAGGACACGGCCCUUUCAAGGCUGUAAUACGGGUUCGAGUCCCGUUGGGGUCA
rnacentral:tRNA from 1 species